GAUGAACUCUAGCUACAGGCUUAACACAUGCAAGUCGAGGGACCGGCGCACGGGGGAGUAACACGUAUCCAACCUGCCCUUUACUCGGGGAUAGCCUUUCGAAAGAAAGAUUAAUACCCGAUAUAAAGGAUUGGGAUGCGUUCCAUUAGGUUGUUGGUGAGGUAACGGCUCACCAAGCCUUCGAUGGAUAGGGGUUCUGAGAGGAAGGUCCACGACAUUGGAAAUGAGACACGGUCCAAACGCCGACGGGAGGCAGCAGUGAGGAAUAGUGGUCAAUGGGAGCUAGCCUGAACCAGCCAAGUAGCGUGAAGGAUGAAGGCUUAUGGGUCGUAAACUACUGUUAGAUAAGAAGAUGUAUUAUAUGAAUAAGGAUCGGCUAACGCCGUGCCAGCAGCCGCGGUAAUUC
rnacentral:rRNA from 1 species